rnacentral:lncRNA from 1 species
GGCUUUCCCUGCUUUAAAACUAGAUGAUGCUCUCUCUUUUCCCUCAGUGAUUCCUUGGUGGCAUUGGGGUCUUUCAGUGGUGAGGAAACAGGAAGAAUUCCCAGGAGACCUUGACAUGGGUAGGCCCAGAGGUAACCACAAGAUCUCCUGAGGACAGAAGGCACCGGCCGGGCCUCUUAGUUAGAAUUGGUUUCCUAUCACUUAAAAUCAAGCACUCUGGAUCAAGAAAGAAGUGGAGGAUGAGGAGGGUAUGUGAAAGUCAAGAAACAACUUCUUGAGGUGAGUCCAAUCUCUCCUUACAUCCUUAUGUGGGUUCUUGGGACUGAACUUCUCCCAUAAAGUUU